GGGGAAACUGGAAGAUGUUUAAGGACAAGGUUUGGUGAGCAUCGGCAUGCAGUUAUUGGCAAUGAUGCUAACCAACCUGUUGCCAGACAUUUUAAUAAUGGCAAUCACAGUGUUUCAGAUAUGGUAAUUCGAGCCCUCUGUCCCAUUUCUGGAAGCAACGACAGCCGCAAACGACAUGAAAUGCGCCUCAUAUCCAAACUUGGCACUGUUCACCCUUCUGGUAU